rnacentral:rRNA from 1 species
UACGGAGGGGGCUAGCGUUGUUCGGAAUUACUGGGCGUAAAGCGCACGUAGGCGGCUUUGUAAGUUAGAGGUGAAAGCCCGGGGCUCAACUCCGGAAUUGCCUUUAAGACUGCAUCGCUAGAAUUGUGGAGAGGUAAGUGGAAUUCCGAGUGUAGAGGUGAAAUUCGUAGAUAUUCGGAAGAACACCAGUGGCGAAGGCGACUUACUGGUCCGGUUCUGACACUGAGGCGCGAAAGCGUGGGGAGCAAACAGG